rnacentral:rRNA from 1 species
CGCUGGCGGCGUGCUUAACACAUGCAAGUCACGGGGGCCCGCAAGGGCAACCGGCGAACGGGUGCGUAACACGUGAGCAAGUUACCGAUUUCUGGGGGAUAGCCGGCCCAACGGCCGGGUAAUACCGCAUACGUUCACUGGACGGCAUCGUCCGGUGAGGAAACCUCCGGGGGAAAUCGAGACGCUCGCGGCCUAUCAGCUAGUUGGCGGGGUAACGGCCCACCAAGGCGAUGACGGGUAGCUGGUCUGAGAGGAUGGCCAGCCACAUUGGGACUGCGACACGGCCCAGACUCCUACGGGGGGCAGCAGUGGGGAAUAUUGCGCAAUGGACGAAAGUCUGACGCAGCGACGCCGCGUGUGGGAUGAAGCUCUUCGGGGUGUAAACCACUGUUGCCCGGGACGAAACCCUCCUUUCGAGGAGAUUGACGGUACCGGGUGAGGAAGCACCGGCUAACUCUGUGCCAGCAGCCGCGGUAAUACAGAGGGUGCGAGCGUUGUCCGGAAUCACUGGGCGUAAAGGGCGCGUAGGUGGCUUGGUAAGCGUGUGGUGAAAGUCCGGGGCUCAACCCCGGAUCUGCCGUGCGAACUGCUGAGCUUGAGCAUUGUAGAGGCAGGUGGAAUUCCGGGUGUAGCGGUGGAAUGCGUAGAGAUCCGGAAGAACACCAGUGGCGAAGGCGGCCUGCUGGGCAAUAGCUGACACUGAGGCGCGACAGCGUGGGGAGCAAACAGGAUUAGAUACCCUGGUAGUCCACGCCGUAAACGAUGGGUACUAGGUGUCUGGGGGAGCGACCCCCUGGGUGCCGGCGCUAACGCAUGAAGUACCCCGCCUGGGGAGUACGGCCGCAAGGCUGAAACUCAAAGGAAUUGACGGGGGCCCGCACAAGCGGUGGAGCAUGUGGUUUAAUUCGACGCAACGCGAAGAACCUUACCUAGGCUUGACAUGCUGGAGAAAGCUUGCGGAAACGUGAGCCCCUCUUCGGAGUUCCAGCACAGAUGCUGCAUGGCUGUCGUCAGCUCGUGUCGUGAGAUGUUGGGUUAAGUCCCGCAACGAGCGCAACCCUCACCCUUAGUUACCAGCGGGUAAAGCCGGGGACUCUAGGGGGACUGCCGGUGCCAAACCGGAGGAAGGUGGGGAUGACGUCAAGUCAUCAUGGCUCUUACGUCUAGGGCUACACACGUGCUACAAUGGGCCGGACAGAGGGUCGCCAACUCGCGAGAGUGCGCCAAUCCCCAAACCGGUCCUCAGUUCGGAUUGUAGUCUGCAACUCGACAACAUGAAGCUGGAAUCGCUAGUAAUCGUAGAUCAGCUACGCUACGGUGAAUACGUUCCCGGGCCUUGUACACACCGCCCGUCACGCCAUGGAAGUUGUGAGCGCCCGAAGUCGGUGUCGGAACCCGCAAGGGACCAAGCCGCCUAAGGCAAGCGCAAUGACUGGGGCGA